rnacentral:rRNA from 1 species
GAUGAACGCUGGCGGCGUGCCUAAUACAUGCAAGUCGAGCGAACGGACGAGAAGCUUGCUUCUCUGAUGUUAGCGGCGGACGGGUGAGUAACACGUGGAUAACCUACCUAUAAGACUGAGAUAACUUCGGGUAACCGUAGUUAAUACCGGAUAAUAUUUUGAACCGCAUGGUUCAAAAGUGAAAGACGGUCUUGCUGUCACUUAUAGACGGAUCCGCGCUGCAUUAGCUAGUUGCUAAGGUAACGGCUUACCAAGGCAACGAUGCAUAGCCGACCUGAGAGAGUGAUCGGCCACACUGGAACUGAGACGCGGUCCAGACUCCUACGGGAGGCAGCAGUAGGGAAUCGUCCGCAGUGGUGGAAAGCCUGACGGAACAACGCCGCGUGAGUGAUGAAGGUGUUCGGAUCGUAAUACUCUGUUAUGAGGGAAGAACAUAUGUGUAAGUAACUGUGCACAUCUUGACGGUACCUAAAUAGAAAGCCACGGCUAACUACGUG